rnacentral:rRNA from 1 species
UACGUAGGGGGCGAGCGUUGUCCGGAAUCAUUGGGCGUAAAGCGCGUGUAGGCGGCUCGAUAAGUCCGGUGUGAAACCUUGGGGCUCAACCCCAAGCCUGCACUGGAUACUGCCGAGCUAGAGUCCGGGAGGGGAGAGCGGAAUUCCUAGUGUAGCGGUGAAAUGCGCAGAUAUUAGGAAGAACACCGGUGGCGAAGGCGGCUCUCUGGAACGGUACUGACGCUGAGAUGCGAAAGCGUGGGGAGCGAACAGG